rnacentral:sRNA from 1 species
GUAGAGGUAAACUUGCUUUUGGCUGGGCGUGGUGGCUCACGCCUGUAAUCCCAGCACUUUGGGAGGCCGAGGCGGAUGGAUCACCUAAGGUCAGGAGUUUGAGACCAGCUUGACCAACAUGGAGAAACCCCAUCUCUAGUAAACAAAAACACAAAAUUAGCCAGGUGUGGCGGCACAUACCUGUAAUCCCAGCUACUUGGGAGGCUGAGGCAGGAGAAUUGCUUGAACCUGGGAGGUGGAGGUUGUGGUCAGCCAAGAUUGCACCAUUGCACUCCAGCCUGGGCAACAAGAGCGAAACUCUGUCUCAAAAAAAAAAAAAAAAAAAAUUAAAAACUUCCUUUUAUCCAGCAGAGCUGGAAAAGUGAGAGUUGUUUUUGGUAUACUUGGAGAGCUGGCUUUCUAAAGUGCUGCUUUGAGGACUGUUUUGUAAAGCACUUGAUUCUUCUUCCCUUUGCUGGAGUUAUGGGCCUGGGCUUUUACACUGGGAUUCAGAAGUAACAAAUCAAGUCGGUCCUGAAAUAGUUGCUCAGCAAUCUCAUUGUUACAGUGUCGCAAAAUGAGCUCAUAUUAGCUUUAUUUUCUGCUACCAAUAGAGUGUUCCUAAGUAUUUAAAGUGUGUGACUCCUUUCUUAUAGAGCCAGCAAGCUGUAUUGGAAUCACUUUUCCAGUGUUGUAAAUGUUAUUUUUGUGGGUCAGUCAGUAUACUCGUGAAUGACAGAAAAACAGAUCCCAACAAUGCAAAGUAUUAUAUGUGUAAAAAAGAACAGAAAAAAGAAGCUGCCUUGUUAGUAAUGGGCUCUAUGGUUUUUCUCAUCAAGAGGUCAUGACGCCAGUCAGAUCACACUAGCCUUGGGCACAGCUGCCUCCUACCCCAGGGCCUGCCAGGCUCUCGGGGCCAUGCUGUCCAAAGGAGCCCUGAACCCUGCUGACAUCACCGUCCUGUUCAAGAUGUUCACAAGCAUGGACCCUCCUCCGGUUGAACUCGUAAGUUGCUUCUCAAGAAUCCCCAAUGUCAACUGGUAAGGUGACUUUGGAAAGUCUGUGCUUGUCUGAUUGUCUGAAGGCUGUGAAUGCAAAUCCAUCAUUGUCCUGGUCCUUCCUCAGUCACACUCUCUGCCUGGAGUCUGUUGGGCCCCUGCUGUGUAGGGAACCCUGAGGGGAGGUGGGUGAGCAGUGCCCUCACGCCUGCCAUCCCGAACUGGGCAUAUGCUUCUCCUCAGAUCCGCGUUCCAGCCUUCCUGGACCUGUUCAUGCAGUCACUCUUUAAGCCAGGGGCUCGGAUCAACCAGGACCACAAGCACAAAUACAUCCACAUCUUGGCGUACGCAGCAAGCGUGGUUGAGACCUGGAAGAAGGUACCAUCAGUUCUGGGAAUUUGUGGAUUUUUUAGGAGACAAAUAUCCUCCUCUGCUUUGAUAUUAUUUUGGAAUUUUGGCUGCAAGAAAUCUCGACCCUCCCUAGUAUCAGGCACGUGUUUUCUUGUGUUUCUGCGUAGAGAAAGCGCUAAAUGUCUCCAGAAAAUGUGCGUAAUGUCUCCAAUGCUCUGCAAACCGUAAAUUGAAAUGUGACUAAAGAAAUGAAACUGAUUUCCGUAAGACAUGGACAAACACUAGUCUCAUUGCUUUUCAGUUUCUGUACACUGUGUGACUGUGAAGUUUGACAGCUGAAUUGACUCCCAACUUAAGUAGAAAUAGGGAAAGUGCUUUGCAAGAAGUGGCCGACACCAGAACACCCCGACAGCAGGGAUAUCUGCCCUGUCAGGCUCACCAGCUUGUGUGUGUGUUUUCAGAACAAGCGAGUGAGCAUCAAUAAAGAUGAGCUGAAGUCAACGUCAAAAGCUGUCGAAACCGUUCACAAUUUGUGUUGCAACGAGAACAAAGGGGCCUCUGAACUAGUGGCAGAAUUGAGCACACUUUAUCAGUGUAUUAGGUUUCCAGUGGUAGCAAUGGGUGUGCUGAAGUGGGUGGAUUGGACUGUAUCGGAACCAAGGUACUUUCAGCUGCAGACUGACCAUACCCCUGUCCACCUGGCGUUGCUGGAUGAGGUAAGAGGGCGGAGGGCUGUUCACAGCGUACACAGUGUCUGUCUCAUGCGGUUUACGUUGGCAUUAACAUUGCAUCUAUUCAGUGAGUUUAGAGGAUACUCUUCUCAAAAAUAGUUAUUUCUGUCCUAAGUGAGGAUUUUCCUCCUAAGGACCUAGCUUCAUUGACUGCAGAAAUUUCUUAACCUCAGUCAAGUGUUACUGGAAGCUGAUGGCCCUGGCUUAGGUGUCAGGACCUUCUUCCACAGUGAUAAGCUCUUUGGUGGCUGUGACAGUGCCCGGUUUCUCUGUGUGCUGAGCGUGACCACACUGCUCAGCGAAGCUCCCUCUGGCCUGUUUGUAGAUCAGCACCUGCCACCAGCUCCUGCACCCCCAGGUCCUGCAGCUGCUUGUUAAGCUUUUUGAGACUGAGCACUCCCAGCUGGACGUGAUGGAGCAGGUGAGCAGUGCCCGUGGGGCUUGCCAGAGGGCUGAGGAGGACCCUCUCUAACCAGCUCCCUGUCCCCCUUCUUCUGUAGCUUGAGUUGAAGAAGACACUGCUGGACAGGAUGGUUCACCUGCUGAGUCGAGGUUAUGUACUUCCUGUUGUCAGUUACAUCCGAAAGUGUCUGGAGAAGCUGGACACUGACAUUUCACUCAUUCGCUAUUUUGUCACUGAGGUCAGCAAUGCACCGUUGGUUUCAUGUUUCAUACUGUUUACACUAGCACUGCCCUUUUUGGCUUAAUUUAGUUCAUUUUGUACCUGAGAACUGUGCUUUCUGAUGUAGUGAUGACAAUGACAGAUACUCGUUUACCAAAAAGCACCUUCUGCCUGCAGCAGCUGUAUGACACACUUUACCUCCAUUACCACCCUGGGCAUCUGAAUGUUGGAGAUGGGUGGUGUCACCGGCCGGUGGGGGCGGGGAGGGAUUUUUUCCAAACUGAUGGCCGUUUCACCCGGAUGUCGGUGGAUGCCCCGCACUAGUGUGCGGAAGAAGUCACCCUGUGCUCCCCCACACAGGUGCUGGACGUCAUUGCUCCUCCUUACACCUCUGACUUCGUGCAACUUUUCCUCCCCAUCCUGGAGAAUGACAGCAUCGCAGGUACCAUCAAAACGGAAGGCGAGCAUGACCCUGUGACGGAGUUUAUAGCUCACUGCAAAUCUAACUUCAUCAUGGUGAACUAAUUUAGAGCAUCCUCCAGAGCUGAAGCAGAACAUUCCAGAACCCGUUGUGGAAAAACCCUUUCAAGAAGCUGUUUUAAGAGGCUCGGGCAGCGUCUUGAAAAUGGGCACCGCUGGGAGGAGGUGGAUGACUUCUUUACAAAGGAAAAUGGUAGCAGCUUCAGUGAGAAACUGCCCUUACGAACAGUCCCUUCUCUGCUGUCAAUCCAAUACUGUUCCCAAAUCCUGUUUUCAGUGUUCAUUUCCCUCAAGGCAGGCGCUGGGCUCCCACAACCCCUCAGGACAGAUCUGGCCGUCAGCCGCGGGCCGCUGGGAACUCCACUCGGGGAACUCCUUUCCAAGCUGACCUCAGUUUUUCUCACAAGAACCCAGUUAGUUGAUGUUUUAUUGUAAUUGUCUUAAUUUGCUAAGAACAAGUAAUAAGUAAAUUUUUAAAAAGCCUUUCUGCUGGGUUGGAUUAG